CUUUAGCUCAGUUGGCAGAGCAUGCGCUCCGUAAGCGUAUGGUCACGGGUUCGAUCCCCGUAG
rnacentral:tRNA from 1 species